rnacentral:rRNA from 1 species
CACGUAGGGCGCAAGCGUUGUCCGGAAUUAUUGGGCGUAAAGAGCUCGUAGGUGGUUUGCUGCGUCCGCUGUGAAAACCCAAGGCUUAACCUUGGGCUUGCAGUGGAUACGGGCAGACUAGAGGUAGGUAGGGGAGAAUGGAAUUCCCGGUGUAGCGGUGAAAUGCGCAGAUAUCAGGAGGAACACCGGUGGCGAAGGCGGGUCUCUGGGCAAUAACUGACGCUGAGGAGCGAAAGCGUGGGGAGCGAACAGG